rnacentral:rRNA from 1 species
UACGUAGGGGGCAAGCGUUGUCCGGAAUCAUUGGGCGUAAAGAGCGUGUAGGCGGCCCGAUAAGUCCGCUGUGAAAGUCCAGGGCUCAACCCUGGGAUGCCGGUGGAUACUGUCGGGCUCGAGUCCGGUAGGGGAGUGUGGAAUUCCCGGUGUAGCGGUGAAAUGCGCAGAUAUCGGGAGGAACACCAGUAGCGAAGGCGGCACUCUGGGCCGGUACUGACGCUGAGGAGCGAAAGCGUGGGGAGCGAACAGG